ensembl:lincRNA
AUGACCUUCACACUGAGGCAAUCUUACACUUCCCUUACCCUUUUCCUUUUCUCUCUCUUUCUCUCCUUUCCUCAUCCAGUAACUCCAGUCAGACUCCAUUGUCUCCAAGUCGACUUUCGUCCUCAUCCACAACUCCUCCACACAAGCCCUGAACACGUGUCCAUGUUUCUCCUAUUUACCUCAAGCACGUAUGGAGCGAAUUCUUACCUUGUAAUAUUGCCAUGGCAUUCACAUUGAACAUAAGUUGAACUCUCUCAUAUGGUAGCUGGGUUCAGAUUCCCUUGACAAUUUCCUGUUCUAACCCUCACAGUUCCUCAGUGUGGCUGGCCCAGAUAUUGACCCUACACAGUUGCCUCCUCCUGGGGACUACCAGCUAUGGAACCGUUGGAUAUAACCUACCUGACUCACCCCACAGACCUCACAGCGCACAUGGACAGCNNNNNNNNNNNNNNNNNNNNNNNNNNNNNNNNNNNNNNNNNNNNNNNNNNAAUCAUUAAUGAUUGAGUUUCUUUAAAUCUGUCCAAUCUCAAGUCAUUUUUAUUUGCCAUUUCCAGGGAAUGUGAAAUGGGACUAAUUUACCUCUGAUUCUUGUUUAUACUGAGGACAGAAAUUUUGGUCCUAGCUUUAGGGAGGAGCUCCUGUGUGAUGCCCUAUCUUGGGAAAAACUGUGUCUUUCUUUACUGUCCUAUGAGAUGUAUGACAGUAGGAAUCUGCACUCAUUCAUUUUGGUACAUGUCCGUAGGGCAAAAUCAGUUUCGGUGUUUAGGUAUAUUUUGUCUGCUCCCUGCGUUCCCAUGGUUUUGACCUUAUAUUUUACUUUCUUUUGUGAACAUACCAAUGCUUCAAUUUUUUUCCAGUAAUAUAAUCAACUAUAUUAUGAGAAAGAGAAAUAUUUUGAUAAAACACAAAUUUCAUGUUUUCCUACUCUAAUUGGCUUUUACAUAAAAAUACAGGUAAAAUUUAUUUGUGCUUUUUUGCUAUUUCUGUUUGGCUAUUCUCUGUCUAUGUCUUCUCCACAUAGACACAAUUAGGGAAUUUUAUACAUUCUUGUGCCAACUGCUUGGAUAGUAACAAAAUGUAUUUCUUGAACUCCUAGGUAUAAAACUCAAGUAUCCACAAUUUAAAUUAUUUUUCCCUCUCUUCUAUUAUGUUUCCAGUCUCAAUAGAAAUCGAUGCCAAUCCAGAAAUACAAGCAUUAUUCUAAUACUUCUAACACAUUACAGAUAUAGAUUAAAUUUUCUAGAUCUCCUUAAAUACUAUCAUUUUUCACUACUUGUAUCUUAACUGUUAAGUUCAACACUUUCUAUAAUAUUAAUAUGCUGUGAAAGUUUCUUUACUUUCUUAUUUGUCCCAGGUUCAAUGUUUUGCAGUCUCUACCUCACCCUGUGAAGCAUAAACAUUGUACAUGCUGUACAAAUAAUACAUAGUUCAUGUGCUUAGAGAUUGCACAAUUUUUAUUUGGUUGACAAUAGCUAAUGUUUUCUUCUUCAUUUUCUACUUCCUGAUUUUUCUUUAUUUAGUAUAUACUACAUUAUCAUAAAAAUAAGAACGUUUUACAAACUAAAGCAAAAGCAA